rnacentral:rRNA from 1 species
GGGUCAGUAGGUUGGUCGUGCCACCGGUACGUACUGGUCUCACUGAUUCCUCCUUCCUGAAGAACCGUAAUGCCAUUAUUUUGGUGUUGCGGGGAAACAGGACUGUUACUUUGAAAAAAUGAGAGUGUUUAAAGCAAGCUAACGCUUGAAUACAUUAGCAUGGAAUAAUGAAAUAGGACGAACGAUCCUAUUUUGUUGGUUUCUAGGAUUGACGUA